GACACCAACUGCCUCUGCACUAUCCCUUCAGAGCCUAAUGGGUUCAGAAGCAGGCAUCUUAUCCAGGCUGCUCAUUCUAUUUCAGAGGGAGAACCAUAUACAUGUAGAGACCAGACAAAGGCAGGAUGAGGCCAGCCUUCUAUCACAUUGGAGAACAAAACAAAGCCCUCCCUGUUAUGUUGCACCUAUGAGACUUACUGUCUGGAGACAUUUUUGAAGAUAUGUGCCUCUGUAACAAAGUUGAUUUUUCAAACGGAGGUUUCCCAAACAGCACAAAAUAAGACAGAGACAUUGAAUAAUCACUGCACGACUUAGUUUAAAAAAUAGAAUGAUGACAAAGCAAACCUGAUGUAUUCUGGUGUAAAUGUAGGAGAUAUAAAUAGAUAACAAGAGAAGCCCUGCGGUGUUUGAGACGACUGAAGAAAUACACAAUGGAAGGUCAAGAGAGUUCUUAGUUCUUGGAGUUUUGAUUCUGUAUGACACUAAAAUUAUACAAGUAUUGCACUGGG
rnacentral:lncRNA from 1 species